rnacentral:tRNA from 1 species
ACCCGAGUGGCGGAAUUGGUAGACGCGCUAGUUUCAGGGACUAGUAUCCUUACGGAUGUGCAGGUUCAAGUCCUGUCUCGGGUACUA